rnacentral:rRNA from 1 species
AGGUAAAAAAUCGGCGUGGUUAGCAGAACGAGUUGGAAAGCUCAGCCGGAGACUGUGAUAGCCAGGUAUGCGAAAACGACGCUGACCUUAUUCUGUAUUCUCGAGUAGGUCGGGGCACGAGAAACCCUGAUUGAAUCCGGCUGGACCACCAGCCAAGGCUAAAUAUAGUAUAUGAUCGAUAGUGAACUAGUACGGUGACGGAAAGGUGAAAAGAACCCCGGGAGGGGAGUGAAAUAGAACCUGAAAUUUUGUGCCUACAAGGAGUCGGAGCCCAGCACCUUUGAAAUCGAGUGGUACAAUGUAGGCGGAUGUUCUACGUGUACGUUUUGCAAAGUGAUCGGGAAUCAGAUCAAAUUUACUUCGGUCAGACCAGUGACUUAAGACGACGUCUCUCGGAGCAUAAUUCUGGCAAGGAUACUUAUACCAAGAUAUAUGCGCCAUGGAAGGUUGUCUAUUAUGAAGCCUAUUCAUCACGUAAGCUAGCAAUAGCCCGUGAGAGGCAGUUGAAAGCUUAUGGACAAGCCAGGACUGCUCUGAAGAAGAGACUAAAUUUGAUCUGAUACUCGAUUUCAAAGGUGCUGGGUGACGGCGUGCUUUUUGUAGAACGAUCCAGCGAGUUAAUUUUUACGGCGAGGUUAAGUCAGAUGACGAAGCCACAGUGAAAGCGAGCAUUAACAGUGCGAUUUAGUCGUAAGGAUUAGACCCGAAACCAGGUGACCUAACCAUGAGCAGGUUGAAGCAACCUUAAUCGGUUGUGGAGGACCGAACCAGUGUAUAUUGCAAAAUGCUUGGAUGACUUGUGGUUAGCGGUGAAAUGCCAAUCGAACUUGGAGAUAGCUGGUUCUCCGCGAAAUAGUUAUAGGACUAGCGUCGUGUGAUAGCUUACGGGGGUAGAGCUCUGUCAAGAGAUAGGGGGAGCAAUCCUACCUACUCUUAAUAAACUACGAAUACCGUAUGUCUGUAUCACGGCAGUUAGAACGUCGGUGCUAAGAUCGGCGCUCAAAAGGGAAACAGCCCAGACCAUCAUCUAAGGUCCCCAAAUUUACGCUAAGUGGGAAACAAGGUGGAAUUUCUUAAACAGCUAGGAUGUUGGCUUAGAAGCAGCCAUUCAUUUAAAGAGUGCGUAACAGCUCACUAGUCAAGAGAUUCUGCGUGGAAGAUAUAACGGGGCUAAGCGUAAUACCGAAGAUAUGGAUUGCAAUUUAUUGCAGUGGUAGCGGAGCGUUCCUAUCAGCAGUGAAGCCGGACUGUUAAGUACUGGUGGAGCGUUAGGAAGUGAGAAUGCUGGAACGAGUAACCAUAAGACAGGUGAGAAUCCUGUCGGCCGAAAGAGCGAGGUUUCCUGGGCUAUGGUAAUCAUCCCAGGGUUAGUCGGGCCUAAGCCGAGGCGUUUAGCGUAGGCGAUGGACAUCAGGUUAAUAUUCCUGAACUAGUCAAACUUUGUAUGCAGUUAGCGAUGAGAUAGGUGGAGCGGAUUCAUGGUUUAUCCGUUCAAGUGAUAGAGGAAUCUUGAUCGAGUAAAAGUGAACCUACGGGUUUACGAUUCCGCUGAAGGCAUUGACCAGAAAAGCUGGCAUACGUAUGGGUUUGGCUACCCGUACCGCAAACCGACACAGGUGCUCGAGUCGAGGAGACUAAGGCUUACGAGAGAAUGAUUGCUAAGGAACUCGGCAAUACAGCGACCGUAACUUCGGAAUAAGGUCUGCCUACAUUUGUAGGCCGCAGCUAAAGAGCCCACGGAACUGUUUAUCAAAAACUCAGGUCUCUGCUAACACGAAAGUGGAUGUAUAGGGGCUGAAACCUGCCCGGUGCCGGAAGGUUAAGGGGAUUGCUUCACGGUGAGAACUGAAGCCCCGGUGAACGGCGGCGGUAACUAUAACCGUCCUAAGGUAGCGAAAUUCCUUGUCAGGUAAGUUCUGACCCGCACGAAUGGAGUAAUCAUGUGGGCACUGUCUCAGCGAAGGACUCGGUGAAAGUGCAUUGGCGGUAAAGAUGCCGUCUGUCCGUACCAGGACGAAAAGACCCCAUGGAGCUUUACUACAGCUUUACAUUGAAUACGGUUUCAACAUGUGUAGCAUAGGUGGGAGACUUUGAAGCAGAUACGCCAGUAUUUGUGGAGUCACCAAGUGAAAUACCACCCUUGUUGUGAUUGUAUUCUCACGCUGACCGUUAUCCGGUUAGCGGACCGUGUAUGGUGGGUAGUUUAACUGGGGCGGUUGCCUCCUAAAGAGUAGCGG